UUUUAUUUAAAUUCAAUUAGGCAACAUAGAGGACAACAUUAGUUUCAUAUUCAGAGUUCCAUAAUUCAUCAGUUGCAUGUAACACACAGUGCUGUUCACUUCUC